rnacentral:rRNA from 1 species
GACGAACGCUGGCGGCGUGCUUAACACAUGCAAGUCGAACGAAGUGGCGAACGGGUGAGUAACGCGUAAUCAACCUGCCCUUCAGAGGGUGACAACAGUUGGAAACGACUGCUACUACCGCAUACUGAAGGAGGGGAUUGCGUCUGAUUAGCUAGUUGGAGGGGUAACGGCCCACCAAGGCGAUGAUCAGUAGGCGGUCUGAGAGGGUGAACGGCCAAAUUGGGACUGGGAAACGGCCCAGACUCCUACGGGAGGGAGGAGUGGGGAAACUUCCGAAAUGGACGAAAGUCUGACGAAGCAACGCCGCGGGAGGGAUGACGGCCUUCGGGUUGUAAAGCUCUGUUAAUCGGGACGCGGUACCGGAAGAGAAAGCCACGGCUAACUACGUGCCAGCAGCCGCGGUAAUUC